AAGGAGAAGAAGAGGAAGAAGAGAUGUACCUUUAAGGAGGAAUCAAGAAGACAUGGCAGAGCUUCUGGAAGAUUGAGUGAAGCUAAUUACCCACAAGCUUCUUAGCUGUUUCCCAUGUCCGAGUUGACUGUGAGACUUAGAGGGUUGACAGCGGAGGGAGGGAGAGAGUUCACACUUCAGAGGCUCUGGUUAAUCUUAGCUGCAAGCAAAUCUGCAAUAUGUAAUCUGCAAAAGAGUCAAAGACGCUUCUUUUCUGUCUUUCUCUGUCUUUUCGCUUCUCUUUCAUGAAAACAUUUUCUAAUUCGAUUUUAUAAUUAAUUAAGUAGAAGAAAUGAAAGAAUUAAACCUCGAAAAAAUAAAUUAGCUAAUUACUUUCUCUCACUUGCUGCUGUUGUUAGGGUUUUGGAUUUGGAUUCCUUUGGAUUUUUUGUGCAGAUAUAAAUUAUUUUAAAUUUUAUAUUUAAAAUUAAACAUAAAUAUAAUUUAACGAAAAAUG
rnacentral:lncRNA from 1 species